CGGAGAGCGGCCGGCGCCCGGUAGUGACGUCACGCCUCGUAAGCCCCGCCCCCGGAGGCGCCGGGAAAUUGGUGGAAAACACCUUCGGCUUCCCAGUGUGGAUCAAGCGUGAGGAGUGAGAGAAACUAGGAACUUCUCUGAAUACCUAAUGAUCCUGCAUGAAUUUAAUCAUCUCCAGGACUUUAGAGCACAUCCUUAAACUUGACCUGCUGAAAGCACACCAGUGUUCCAGCAAGAACAAAGGAGAAAGCGGAAGUGAAGCAAGUGAAGCACACACCUUUCUUUAAGAACCAUGAAAACAUCCCUGGGCUAGCUUGCUAGGGAAAUGUAAGGAACACCUGGAGGAGAGCUGUGUUAUUCCUAUGCUGACCAUCCUAUACCAACCAGGCCCCUGAGGGCCUCCAGCUGACCAGAGAUAGAUCCCACUGAGAUCAGGUCUUUUGGGAGGACUAAAACUCAAUGUAUCAAGGUUUUGCUUCCUCAUAGCUUGAGUUCUCCCAUCUAUCUGAUCCUACAGUGAAAUGGCAAUUUUGUGACAUCAGAAUCUGGUCCGGGGCAAAUAUUUGUUAUUAUGGUCAACUAUGACUUUAUGAUCUCAUUGUAAUAAAUGAGGAAAAAUUGCAGAAAAGAAUAUUUGUAUAAAUUGUACUAAGUAAAUGUUAUUCUUGUAACAAUAGAAAAUAAUAGCUAACAUAUCUCCUUCUUUAUUAUAGUUCUCAGUUUCUACAUUCAUAUAAGUAUAAAGCAUCCUCUUUUUGAAAGUUAGCACCAUCACUUUUUUUGAAGACUAUUCUCAAAUACCUGCAAAUAUAUGCAACUUAUAUGAAAAUCACCACAUAAUGUUCCCAUUUGAUCAGAUUAAAUAUUAAAGUUCUGGGGGGGACAGAGGGAGGCCAGAAAGGAGGUGAGUUGGUCACAUCUCCCAGAACUUUGAACCACAUUUUUGGCAUCUAAAACAAAGGCAAAUAUAUUGUUCAUAGCUGCAGGACUUUGGUAUGAAUGUGUUUUAUGCACAAGGGUCAUAUAUUUGUAUUUUUCUCUAUUGUAAUUGAUUAAGUUUGAAUCCCAUAGAAGUAUAAUAUUUGUAUUUACAAAUAGAAACCAUAUUUAUUCUGAAUGCAUUUUUAACUAAGUAUACAAUUCACAACUUUAUCACUUGUUUUAUGAGUCCAUUUGGCUUGGCUCAGAAAAAAAAUAAUUAAUCAAGCCUGUAGUUUGCAGGGCCUGGUCUUUAUUUAUGCAGAAACUGCUUAUUUAUUAACAUUAAGCAUCUCCCAUUUGGUCUCAAAGAGAUGUAUAGUUACAUGGAAACAGAACAGCUUUCAGUAGAUGAUUGCACAACUACAGAUGCUUUUUUCCAACACCAUCACAGCUGAGGAGGUCCAACCAAAUGAAAAACAGUUCUGAUGAAGUGAGAAACAGAAAAGCGGUACCAUGCAAACGUUAUUACAUAAUAAAAUGCACGCCAGUACACAUUUUUUUUAAACUCUUUUUAUUAAAUUUAUGUGAAUCAAGAGGAAAGGGCGAAAAGUAUAUUUACUGAUGAUAAAAAAUAUACUCUGGAUAAUUUAAGUCAUCUCAUUUAAAACUUAUUCUUUAUAAGUUUCUAGUUCUUCCCCACUUCCUUUUAGCUCUCUGUCAUCUACUCCAAAGUAAAACUUUUUGGAUUUAAUAAAGACAUCGAAUUUGCAGGUGGUUUGUUCCUGAACAUACAGUCUAAUAUCAAGCGAUGUUACAAAAUACUUAAAUGAAAAUUAGUGGGCUGUCCUCACUAAUCCUGGCCUUUAAAUAUUUUCAGAUGAUUCAUUUUAACCUGUUUCAAUAGCCAUGUUAGUGUGUGUGUCUAUCCUGCCCCACUGGGAACCAUGCCAGCCAGAAAAUGCAUGAAAUCAUGGGAUGUCUUAUGAUGCUAUCCCUGAAAGAUUUCCAGCCUAAGUUAUACUCACAGCAUUAUACUACAGGGAGCCCAGCACCCUGAUGAAUUCUUAAAGUACAUGCAGAUGUGUUUUUCUGAAUAUGCAGUGCUAUAAAUAUUGCUUAUCCUUCUGGAAUGUGCUAAUAUAAAGACAGAUACAAAUAUUAGAAUGGGUAAUUGUAAAAUAUACAUAAAUGAAUGAAGCAUAUUCAUUUCUUGCUACCAGAAGCUUUUUUCUCCAUUACUUUGUACAUAUGCAUAAUUGUAUAAGUGUUUGUAUGUGUGUAUAUAUAUAUAUAUGUAAAGUUUUGCAAUAUAUUUAAUUGUUUUAGUUCAAGUGGUUAUUUCUAAGCAUAUUUCCUCAUAUUUAAUUAGUGUGUCUAUACUGGAAUGGAAAAUAAUUUUUAUUCUUUUCAUUUUUAUUAACAUUCAUUAAGCAUUUAUCAUUCUCCAGGAAACUGUGUUGAAUGUUUAACAUAUCUCACUUAAUCAUUAUAACAAGAUAUGAAAUAUGUGUUUUUAUGUCUCAUUUACCAUGAGGAAAUUGUGCAUCUCAGAAAUUGGAGCUUAUGUGAGACAACCAAUUAGUUACUAAGUGGGGAAGCCAAAAUUCAAAUUCAGGCUCUAUUUCAAAGCCACUGCUCUUAACCAGUAUUUCUUUCAAGUCAGCCAACCAAUAAACUAACUCAAUAUAUUAGUACAAAAGGGAUAUAAAAAGGAUUCCAAUUAAGUAUGUUUCAUUAAAGAGAUCAUAAUAAAUGAAUAAAACAUAUUCAUCUUAACUAAAAGCAGUAAGAGGAAAUUUAUUACUCUGUUUCUCCAGUUCUAAAUGUCUUCCUGCUCCCUCACACCAACAUCCAAAAGUAUUUGAUAGAAAAAUAAAUCUAUCAGAUGGUCUGAGCUACUUUGAUGAAAUAUUUACAUUUCUAUAGCAUUUCCUUAAAUAUUAUUGAUUAUUUACAUUUCUAUGACAUUAUCUGCUCAAGUUGAAAUCACCCAAGAAUGCUUUGCAUACUGUUCCUUCAAGAGAUGGCAUCACAGAUUUAAUUUUUGUACAGUGAGUUCUAUUCUUCUGGCUUACAUUUCCCUUUCUUCCUUUUGUACUCUCUUCAGAGGUACAUCCAAAGAUAGAAAAGAUAGGAUUAGAAUGAAAAGGGCCUAUUACCAUAAACUUCAGAGAAAGUGGGAUUAUCAAAGUUUGUUAUUUGUUUGGAUUUACUGGUCAUCUGUAAUGUUGUUUCCAGCAUUACCAUUUCUAGUUCUUUUCCAAAGGGAGUACAAAGAAGAUGAAGCUGGCACUUAUUUUAAUAUAAGUAAAUCCAGAGUAAGCCCUUCACAUAGGCAAGUGAUAUUUUAAGCUUCAAUCUACUGGACUUGUCAAAGAUCACAUCACUCCUUUUUAUUAGAGAACAAAAGUAGGUAUAUAGCCUCCACCCAUGGUACAUAAAUAGUUCAAUUAAACAUGCUUUGAUGCUACAGCCAAUGAGAUUGUUUUUGACAAAGUAAGAUAGAAUCAAUUCCUUUACAAACUGUGGGAAAUUAACUAAAUUGUACUAAACUUGUAAGUCCUUUUCUUCCUUCCUCUACUCCAAGUGAAUCUAUAUAAACUUUUCUCAAUGACAGAAAUAUUGCAGAGAGAGUUCAAUAUAAAAGACAAAGGUUGAAUUUUAUAGCAGAUAUUUUCCAGCCUAAGUGUUAGAGAAGAAUAAAAAUCUUCUUAUAAUGUAAUUUUGCACAUACAUUUUCUGUGUAAUCUAGGAAUAAUAGUAGCUUUAGUCACAAAAAUUCAAUUGAAUGUGACUGAUGUUGAACUCCAAGCAACAGCAGAUCAAAGGAUUAUGAAUUCUUCACAGUCAGUAUAAAAUCAUGAGAAAAUAAUGUAAUCAUUCUGACAUUGUUGAAAAUAAGAGAUAAAGGGCACAUGACUUACAACCAGGAUGAUAAAUGGAGGGCUGAAUCUAGACAAGAAUAAGACAGAGCUUUCCCAUAAUACAUCUGAACAAGAGUCUCAUCAUUUCGUGGUAAUGAAAAAUUAAAAGUUAAUACAAGUUUGUAUCAUCAAAAUUACAAAUGCAUAAUCACUUUGAACUGGGCUAUGAAUUACAGGAAUUGACAUAUAUGCAUCAUCAUCCACUGCAGCAUUCCUGAAACAACAAAGAUUGGAAACAAACCAGACUUCCAUCAAAGGGUUUCUAUAUCCAUACAACAGAAUACUAGUACCUAUAAGAAAGAGUAAGGAGUCUCUGGAUGUACAUCUUAGCCAGCUUGGGCUACUAUAACAGAAUGCCACAGACUGGCUUAAACAGUGGAAAUUUAUUUCUCACAGUUUUGGAAGCUGGGAAGUCCAAGAUCAAGGUACCAGUAGAUUUGAGUUUUGGUGAGGGCCCUUUUCCUGGCUUAUGGUCAGCCAUCUUUUCACUGUAUCCUCACAUGGUGGGGAGAGCGUGACCUCUGGUCUCUUUCUCUUCUUACAAGGACACUUAUAAGGCACCAUUCUCAUAAUCUCAUCCAAAUCUAAUUAACCCCCAAAGGCUCCACCGCCAAAUAGCAUCACAUUGGGAGUUAGAGCUUCAGCAUAUGAAUCAGGGCACAGCAUUAAGUCCCUAGCAGAAGUAGAUAAGGAAAACUUUCCAAGAUUUAUUAAAUGAAAAGAAAAAGCAAUGUGCAAAACCAUUUUAUAGACUGCAAUGUGUUUAAAAGUUCGAGCAAAAUUAGAAUAUGCAUUGAUUUUUUCGUUGUUACAAAUUUGUGACAAAAUUCUGCACCCAUUAAUGAUACAAUUUUCAAUAAACUAGAACUAAAAGGAAAAUUAUUUCACUAGGUAAAAAUACUCUAAAAAAGACUUUAUAGUUAAUAUAAACUUAAUGGUGAAAAACUAAAUUCUCUCCCCACCCCCCUGUUAAGAUCAGGAACAAACCAAAGAUGCCUAAUCUCACCCCUAAUAAUAAAUAUUAUACUAAAAGUAAUAAGGCAAAAAAAUAAAAGUAUAAACAUAUAAAGGGAAGAGACAAAACUUUUCAUUCACAAAUGAAAUGCCUGAGUAAUGAAAUAGAGAAAUCAAUAAAGAAAACUAUGAGAACUCAUAAGUGAAUUUAGCAGGCUAUAACCUAUGAAAAAAGAUAAGAAUAUGUAAAAUCAAUUGUAUGAGUACAUGCUCUCAAAAACAACUGGAAAUUCAAAAUAUAAAAUUACAGUGGUAGCAUAGCCAUAAAGUACUAGGAUAAGCUUAGCAAAAUAUAUAAAAGACCUGUACCUGAAAAUUAGAAAACAUUAAAAGCAAUUAAAGAAGUGUGAAAUAAAUGGAUUGGCAUACCGUAUUUAUUGACAGGAAGAUUCACUAUUGUUAAGCUGUCAAAUUUGCCUAAAUUUUUCUAUAGAUUCAAUGUAAUCUCAACCAAAAUACAAGCAAGGCUUUUGAAAAAAUGAACAAACUAAUUCUAAAAUUCUUAUGACAAUAUAAAGGAACUAAACUAGUAGAACCAGAACAAUUUUUUAAAGAAUGAACAAAGUUAAAAAGUUUAUUCUGCCUGAUUUCUAUCCAUACUAUCAAAGUUCAAUGAUACAGACAGUGUGCUGUUGAUGUAAGGUUAGACAUAUAGAUUAAUUAAACAGCAUAAAGAAUCUAGAAAUAAACUCACAUAUAUAUGGUCAAUUGAGUUUUUUACAAAGAUUCCAAGGCAAUCCAAUGCAGAAAGGGCAAUCUUUUCAACAGAUGUUACUGGAACAAUGGAAUAGCCAUAUUUAAAAAAUAAUAAUAAAUAAAGGAGUCUUGACUCUUACCUCAUGCCAUAUACAAAAUUAACUUGGAAUCUGUCAUAGGCCUAUUAUAAGAGCUGAAACUAUAUAACUUUUAGUAGAAAACAGGAGAAAUAUCUGCUCUAUUGGACGAGGCAAAGACUUUUUAGUUUUCAUACAAAAAGGAAAACAUUUUUUCUAAGAUAAAAAAUUGACAAGUUAGACUUCACUGAAAUUUUAAACUUCUGCUCUUUGAAAGACAUUGCUAAAAAUAAACUAAAAAGCAAUCCACAAUAGGGAAAAUUCACAAUACAUAUAUCUGACAAAACACUUAUAUUCACAAUAUGUAAAUACCUUUUACAACUCAGUAAGAAAACAACUAAAGUAAAAAUGGACAAAAUAUUUGAACAAAUAUUUCACAAAAGAAAAAUAGUCAAUAUGCACUUAAAACAAUGCUCAACAUCUUUAUUCAUCAGUGAUUGACUGGAGGUAGGCCUGGGUGUAUUGAUUACAAGGGGCAAGAGAGAAUUUGGGGGAGAAUUGAUGUGUUUUAUGACUUCAGUUAGAGUGGUUGUUACAUAGAUGUGUAAGCAUAUUUCAAAACCAACCAAUUGUACAUUUCAGAUGAGUAUAUUUCACUUUAUGUGAAUCAUAUUGCAAAAUAAGAUUUUUUAAAAAAAAUACAAAAUGAGGAAGCAAAGCAUGAAGAUGGGAAGAAACAGUAACCAAGGAUAAGAGAAAGCCCAGAGGAAUGUGUUUAUUUGGACACUCUUGAACAUUACCUAAAUACUCGUGGCCACACCUCUUACUACAGCUGCUGCAGCAGGGACCAGCAGUGUGCAUUCUUUGACCAGCUUUGCAAGUCUCACCUCAGCCUGUGCUCUGGUCCCAUAACUUCUUUUUUUUCUCUGACACACUGAACCAGCUUGAAAGUAGAGGGAAAUUAAUGUUCAUAGAGCUAUUCUUACCAUUAAAAUUAGGGUAUGACAGACAAUAAAUAAAUGUAGUCAAUUUCAAAAUGCAUUAUCUAAGCUCCCAUAGAGACGGCCAACCUAAUAAUAUACUUUGUGUUGGCUUUUUCUCAUUUCUUGUUUUAUUCUUCUGGUUCCUUUCUCCUUCCCUGGGAUCAUUUCACAAUAAACUACCUUCAUGCCAGCUCCACUUUCAUGCUCUGCUUCCAGGGGAACACAAGCUAGGGCACAGUAGGAAGUUAGGUUAUAGUUAAAAAAUGAUAAUAGAUAAAAAGUAUUAUGUACUCACUAUGUGCUAAACACUAAGAUUUCUACAUACAUUAACAUAUUUAAAUCUAACAACAAUCCCAUUUUCUAUAUGAGAAAACUGAAGCAGGAAAAGAUAGUAAGUGGGUAGGAAAGUGGUCAACACUGACAAAUGCUACUAAAAAUUAUGAAAUUCAGAGGAAUUUACACAUAGGCUAUUAUUGAUGAAAUUCAUGAAAGACUUCAGUGGAGUAAUGGGAAUAGAAUCCAGAUUUGAGGAAAUUUUUUAACCUUAACUGAAGAUCAGUCCUCAAUUGUGCAGAAAUAUGAACAUCAUAACCCUUGGAAAAAUAGCAAGAAAUACUGUGGUGGAUAAGCUUGGAUACACUGAACAAAGCCUUCAUAUCCACUCAGAUUCUAAACUUCUCUAAAUCUCUUCCACACAGUGAAUUUAAUAUCAAGAAUUUGAGUUCUCAAUAUCAAAUUUUAGUAAAGGAAUUUUUUUCUGGGACUUCCAAAUAUAUGGGUACUGUAGUUGAGUAAAAUGAAACAAUAAUAAAAUGUGUUAUUGAUGUAGGAGAAGUAGGAUUCAAUACAGUAGUGGUUAGAAGAAAUCCAAAUAUAUUCUAGCCAACUUUGACGAACUUACCCCCAUUUAUCAUGAUUGAACAUUUGUAUCCAGAGUGAAUUCACCAAAUAUUUCGUAUUUUGGUUUUGUUUGCAGUAAUGCUGGAUUGUAUACUAUUGUUUCUCCACAAAUGCUUAAGAAAAAAUAAUAAAAGAACAUGGAGUCCAAAAAAGGACUAUUGAUUUGAAAAAAAUUUAAAAAUCUAUUUAUCAUUUGUCAUUCUUUUGCUAUUCACAGGCCCCAUUUUUGGUCAUUGGUAAACUUCAAGACUUCAGAUUUCUGGCAAAUGAACAUGUAUCAUGUUCCUAAUGAAUUUUCAAGGUCAUGUUUAUUAAUGAUCUUUUCCUGCUGUUUAAUUCAAUAUGGUAGUGAUAAGCUACAUAGUUCAAAAUGCAACAAGUUCUAAACACUCAGUCUCAAAAUCUUGGCCCCUUGUUUUGGCUCUAACAAUGCAAAGUUCAGAUGUGAAAGUCGGCCAGCAUGUUCAAAUAAAAAUCUCAAUAAAUUAGACAGCAGUUGAUGUUCUUAGUAGACUCAUUGCAGUUAGCAUCUACCCACCAUCUCUGUUGGGAUGGCGCUCCAGCUAAUAUUCUCAUCUUAACAAGUGCUGUCAUUUAUCAGGUGUUCACUACAUUAAAAUUAAACUAAGCUCGAAAAAAUGAAAGCAAAAUUUCAUAGGAUGUCUGUAUACUCUAGAAAUAAGAAGAUGCUUUGCAGGAAUAAAUAUGUGCUGGCAACACAUCUCUUCUAUUUCAAGGACAAAAUUGAAACCAUAUUUCCACAGGGUGCAAACAUUGAUUGCUAUAUGUUCUUAUAAACAUAGAACUAAAAACAGUACUGCACCAUCCUCUUGAUUCCCUCUUUACUUUUAUGUGAAGUCCAAAAAUGUAUCAGUUAAAGGAGGCUUCUGAAUUCAAUUCAGAACACAGACAAGGAUUCAUAUGUCAAGAGUAGAAGCAGAGCAUACUUUAGGUAAGAGUAAAAACAAACAAAACACAGUUGUGUUUAAUUUGAAAGGUUCAAAACUAUUAUUCACUAAUAGGUAUAAAAAGAAUAAGCACAAAUUAUAGAUUAUCUCAAAGUUUCAUUUAAAGUGUGAGUUUUGUCCUUUCAUUUUUCUUCCUCCCUCCACAAAUGGUCAGGCCUGGUCAUUCAGUCCCAUGCAGCCAAAUUACUUCAUAAUCCCUCUCUACUUAAUUCCCUUCAGAAGCCUUAUCAUCACCUGCAAGGCACUGUAUUGUUUAACUCCUACCAUCCUUUGAAGCCUCAUCUUUUGCUACCCCUUCUUUCUCUAAUAAGCCCCAGCCACACUGAAUUUCUUUCAGUUCCAAAUGCUUGGGGGUGUUUCCUUUUAGGACAUGAGCAUGUUACUCCCUCUGUCUGAAAGACUAUUUCCAUUAGAGUUCACCUGGCUAAUUUGCAUGCAUUGGUCAGAUUUCAGUUUUUAUGUCACUUGAUCUACAGAGAUGACCCUCCCCCAUUAUGUCUGUCUCAAGAAUCUGUUACCAAAGUUCCUGUGCCCAACACACAGCGAGCCCAAAUAUCAAAACAUCGGAGUUUGGAACAGAGAACGGUUUAUUAGAGGGCCAAGCAAGAAGAAUGGGUGGCUCAUGCCAAAAAAAAACAAAAA